GCGGGAGUAGUUCAAUGGUAGAACUUCAGCCUUCCAAGCUGAUUGCGCGGGUUCGAUUCCCGUCUCCCGCUCCA
rnacentral:tRNA from 3 species